rnacentral:rRNA from 1 species
GGUCAAAGAGACUCAUAGGUGUUAUAAAGACUCGCUGGUGUUUGUCUCCUUGAGGCAUACGGCUUUAACCAAAACUCUCAAAGUUUGACCUCAAAUCAGGUAGGAGUACCCGCUGAACUUAAGCAUAUCAAUAAGCGGAGGAAAAGAAACCAACCGGGAUUGCCUUAGUAACGGCGAGUGAAGCGGCAAAAGCUCAAAUUUGAAAUCUGGCGUCUUCGACGUCCGAGUUGUAAUUUGAAGAAGGCGACUUUGUAGCUGGUCCUUGUCUAUGUUCCUUGGAACAGGACGUCAUAGAGGGUGAGAAUCCCGUGUGGCGAGGAUCCCAGUUAUUUGUAAAGUGCUUUCGACGAGUCGAGUUGUUUGGGAAUGCAGCUCUAAGUGGGUGGUAAAUUCCAUCUAAAGCUAAAUAUUGGCGAGAGACCGAUAGCGAACAAGUACAGUGAUGGAAAGAUGAAAAGAACUUUGAAAAGAGAGUGAAAAAGUACGUGAAAUUGUUGAAAGGGAAGGGCAUUUGAUCAGACAUGGCGUUUGCUUCGGCUUUCGCUGGGCCAGCAUCAGUUUUAGCGGUUGGAUAAAUCCUCGGGAAUGUGGCUCUGCUUCGGUAGAGUGUUAUAGCCCGUGGGAAUACAGCCAGCUGGGACUGAGGAUUGCGACUUUUGUCAAGGAUGCUGGCGUAAUGGUUAAAUGCCGCCCGUCUUGAAACACGGACCAAGGAGUCUAACGUCUAUGCGAGUGUUUGGGUGUAAAACCCGUACGCGUAAUGAAAGUGAAC